UACGUAGGGUGCGAGCGUUAAUCGGAAUUACUGGGCGUAAAGCGUGCGCAGGCGGUUUUGUAAGACAGAUGUGAAAUCCCCGGGCUUAACCUGGGAACUGCAUUUGUGACUGCAAGGCUAGAGUGCGGCAGAGGGGGGUAGAAUUCCACGUGUAGCAGUGAAAUGCGUAGAUAUGUGGAGGAAUACCGAUGGCGAAGGCAGCCCCCUGGGUCGACACUGACGCUCAUGCACGAAAGCGUGGGGAGCAAAC
rnacentral:rRNA from 1 species